GAUGCGGUAGUUUAAUUGGUAGAACGUAGUGCUACGGACACUUUAAUACAAGUUCAAGUCUUGUCCGCUUCU
rnacentral:tRNA from 1 species